UCUCAACCUCCUUGGUUUCUUCUGGAGAGCAUNUGACGCUUGAACUUUGGAGGCAUUUGCUGGUCAUCUUCUCUCUUUUGAAGGUUCAGCUCCUCUCANAUGAAUUAGCGGGGUACUCUUUGCCAGAUCCUUGACAUGUGAUAAGAUGUUUUCCAUGCCUUGGUUUCUGGCUCUGUCGCCUUCAGGACCUGCCUCCUAAACGUCUUGACCUUGCAUCGAGACAAUGUUCGAGCUCGUCUCCCUUCUCGGGAGACAUCCUCGACCCCACGAACCCUUGACCUCAAAUCGGGUGAGACUACCCGCUGAACUUAA
rnacentral:rRNA from 1 species